rnacentral:rRNA from 1 species
AUUGAACGCUAGCGACAGGCUUAACACAUGCAAGUCGAGGGGCAGCAUAGAAGUAGCAAUACUUUGGUGGCGACCGGCGCACGGGUGAGUGACGCGUAUGCAACCUACCUAUCAGAGGGGAAUAACCCGGCGAAAGUCGGACUAAUACCGCAUAAAACAGGGGCACCGCAUGGUGAUAUUUGUUAAAGAAAUUCGCUGACAGAUGGGCAUGCGUUCCAUUAGGUAGUUGGUGAGGUAACGGCUCACCAAGCCGACGAUGGAUAGGGGAACUGAGAGGUUGGUCCCCCACACUGGUACUGAGACACGGACCAGACUCCCACGGGAGGCAGCAGUGAGGAAUAUUGGUCAAUGGGCGGGAGCCUGAACCAGCCAAGUCGCGUGAAGGAAGAAGGAUCUAUGGUUCGUAAACUUCUUUUGCAGGGGAAUAAAGUGCAGGACGUGUCCUGUUUUGUAUGUACCCUGAGAAUAAGGAUCGGCUAACUCCGUGCCAGCCGCCACAGUAACAC